CCCUGCCCCCCUCAGAACGGCUUCGAGGAGGGUGCAGUUCGCGCAAGAGGCGAAAGGGGGCAGUAAGGGCCCGCGGAGUUUUUGGGAGCUGGAGGCUCCGUCUGGAAACUCAGAGCUUGUGUCUGAACUAGUAGAAACGGCGAAGUGUUAUCCCUUGGGACCCAGACUGUCCCUACGCCUCUAAAGCCCGGUGUCCUUGGGGUAGCUUCUGUCCACAGUGCUCAUGCCUCCACGAUAAGUGCACGUUGAGUAUUUCUGUUCUAAAACUGGCGAUAGUCCAUUGGGGUGCCCCCAUCGCAUGGAUGUAUGUGUUACAGCAACAAAGACACUUUAUAGAUAUGCUUGGUUGGAGUCCUCCCUCAGUGGCACAACUACCAGUCAGAAUACCCCCUUCUUCACAGCCUCUCUAUGGGUAAAACUGGAAGAUAAACUGGACUGCAGUCUCAGUACAACUUGCCCUCAUAUCACAGAAAAGAAUUUCAGCAGAUCCUGGAUUAAGAUCUCAUUCUGUUGUUCGGUGGCUAUGAACUAUAUGGACUAUUUCAUAUCUUUCAGGGAAAAUAACACUUUUCUGCAGUUCAUGUAUAUGAAAGAUAUGACCAAAAGCCAGUCCUGGGCUUCUAGGCAGUAUUUGAAAACAGGAAUCUGCAAUGCAAGAUGACCUGAAACCAGGCUAAACUCAUACUUGUUAAGCAAAUGCUUCUCCUUCCUGGCUGUUUAAAUGAAGGAGAGGUGGCCUUUUCUUCUCCAGAGCAAUUCAGCCUUCUCCCUUCCUAUGAAUUAACCUCUGAGAAAAUAUUCUGAGCAGAAGAAAACUUUAUCUCAGGUGUUUUGCUCUUAAAGCAGGAAAAGUCUGCUUCCAACUUGAACAACUCAGCUGCUUAUCCCACUGCACAAACACAAAUAAAAGCAAAACUACAGAUGGAAAAGGGAAAUUGAAGAACUGCAAAGGAGCUACUAUGCUAUCUUUCGUGCUGUGAAGUAGGGCAAAUGACUGAAAUGAUUUUCUUAUCUACUUAUCUGUUUAUUUUCCCAAUUCAAAGAAAAGAUGAUGACAAUAAAUUCCAUAGGGUGUUAAAUUGUGUUUUUCCCUGCUGAUUGUCAUAGUACUGUACCUUAUGUGAGCAGGUUGGGGUGAAAGUGUCCUUGUCUG